rnacentral:rRNA from 1 species
UGAAUACGAGACGCUAAGGCGUCGAAGUAGUGUAUGUCAUACUUCCAAGAAAAGCUUGCACUGUCAUAGAUAAAAAACGCCUGUACCAUAACCGACACAGGUGGGUAGGUAGAGUAUACUAAGGGGCGCGAGAUAACUCUCUCUAAGGAACUCGGCAAAAUAACUCCGUAACUUCGGGAGAAGGAGUGCCUUAUUCGUAAGGUUGCAAUAACAAGAUCCAAGCAACUGUUUAUCAAAAACACAGGUCUCCGCUAAGUCGUAAGACGAUGUAUGGGGGCUGACGCCUGCCCAGUGCCAGAAGGUUAAGGAAGUUGGUUAGCAAUUGCGAAGCUGAUAACUGAAGCCCUGGUGAACGGCGGCCGUAACAAUAACGGUCCUAAGGUAGCGAAAUUCCUUGUCGGGUAAGUUCCGACCCGCACGAAAGGCGUAAUGAUUUGGAUACUGUCUCGGAGAGGGGCUCGGUGAAAUAGACUUGUCUGUGAAGAUGCGGACUACCUGCACCAGGACAGAAAGACCCUAUGAAGCUUUACUGUAACUUGAAAUUGAAAUUGGACUUUAUUCGCGCAGUAUAGGUGGGAGGCGUUGAUUAUAAUCUUGUGGGAUUAUUGGAGCCAUCAGUGAGAUACCACUCUUGUAAUGUUAGAUUUCUAACUUUGAAUCAUUAUCUGGUCAAAGAACAGUUUCAGGCGGGCAGUUUGACUGGGGCGGUCGCCUCCUAAACGGUAACGGAGGCGUACAAAGGUUUCCUCUGAACGGUUAGAAAUCGUAUCUAGAGUGUAAAGGCAUAAGGAAGCUUGACUGUGAGACCUACAAGUCGAGCAGGGACGAAAGUCGGUCUUAGUGAUCUGACGGUACUGAGUGGAAAGGCCGUCACUCAACGGAUAAAAGUUACUCUAGGGAUAACAGGCUGAUCUCCCCCAAGAGUUCACAUCGACGGGGAGGUUUGGCACCUCGAUGUCGGCUCAUCGCAUCCUGGGGCGGUAGUACGUCCCAAGGGUUGGGCUGUUCGCCCAUGAAAGCGGUACGCGAGCUGGGUUCAGAACGUCGUGUGACAGUUCGGUCCAUAUCCGGUGUAGGCGUUAGAAUAUUGAGAGGAGCCUUCUUUAGUACGAGAGGACCGAGAAGGACAUACCUCUGGUGUACCAGUUAUCGUGCCAACGGUAAACGCUGGGUAGCUAUGUAUGGAGUGGAUAACCGCUGAAAGCAUCUAAGUGGGAAGCCCACCUCAAGAUAAGUAUUCUC